UGCGGUAAUCACUCUGCGGUAGUCGCUGGGUUCUUUGCGGAUGAAGUCGCUCAUCUUGCGGCAGAGAAAUAUGGAAGCUCUCCUGAUGUCCGUCUGAUUUAGAGGUUUACAUAGCAGAAAUCAUAUUUAACUGUUCAGAAAAGACGUCGCGCUUCAGUUUGACGUGGCUGAAGUUCGUCUUCGGAACAGAUUCAGAAAUCCACGAAAGAAGCAGGUGAGAAGAGAUGUCCUACUACUCGUCCUCCCGUAGCUCGUCUCGGGCCACUGACUGUAAAGUAUAUGUCGGCGAUCUGGGCAAUGGUGCUGCCAAGGGGGAGCUGGAGCGAGCAUUCAGUUAUUAUGGCCCUCUGAGAAGCGUGUGGGUGGCCAGGAACCCUCCAGGGUUUGCCUUUGUGGAGUUUGAGGAUCCCAGAGAUGCAGAAGACGCUGUCAAAGGCAUGGAUGGAAAGGUCCUCUGUGGUUCCCGUGUUCGUGUGGAAAUGUCAACAGGCCUCUCCAGAAAGGGCCGCGGGCGCCCCAGCCGUCGCCAGUUUGACCCCAAUGAUCGGUGUUACCAGUGUGGGGACCGGGGCCACUAUGCCUAUGACUGCUACCGAUUUAGCAAGAGAGGCCGUCGCAGCAGGUCUCGAUCUCGAUCAAGAUCUCGCUCCAGAUCCAGGUCACGUGGUCGCCGCUACCGCUCUCGCUCUCGCUCCCGCAGCCGCAGCAGGAGCCGACGCCGAUCACCGUCCUAUUCCAGACGCAGGAGCAGGUCUGGAUCCCCAGCACGCUCCAAGUCCAGGACUCCAGCGAGAAGUCGUUCCAGGUCUCGUUCUCGGUCCGGCUCUGCUCCCAGAGGGCGCUCUGUGUCCAGAUCCCGCUCACGAUCUCAGUCUGCCAACCACAAGAGGAACAGCGUGUGGUGGGAGCUGAGCACUGCACUGACACCGCAGCUGAUCCCAGGCCCAGGGUCUGCCAGCUGGCGGUGUGUACGUCCUGCGGGAGGGUGACUAAGCGCUGACCUGAGAUCAGCCUUCGCCUGCAUCUGGUGUUAGACAGCGAGAAAGAGGUCGACCUACCGACCGAACCCUCCCCACAGUGAAUGGGUGACUGUCUGUUCCAACCGACGCACACGCUCAGACGAGAUCAGCCCGUGCACACAUACAGUUGCUCAACUAGAGUCACCCAGCCAGCCAGCCUUCAGAUGUACCAGAGGGCUGACCCACACAGAUCACAGUUCGGCAUUUUUAAAUCCAUUACCUACCUACCAGACCCCCCUACCUACCUACCAGAGUUCUUCGCCUCUGUCUUAGCUUCUGAAAGUGAGAGAGCUGACGAGAGAUCAGUCUUCAAGAGCCUCCCAGCGCAGUGUCUCUCCAAGUUGUAGUCAUCCGUCCUUCAGUCCUUUCAUCCUUCGCUUCUCUGUACUUGUUGUUUCUGCCACUGUCUUCAAAGUCGUUCCCGUUCAGCAACUCCAAACCGAAGCCCUACUCCAGCAGACGACUGAGCGAUGAAGACUGUUUGCCCCCCCCCCUCCCAACCACUGUCCCUAAGACAAGCCCUUAACCCCUGUCUGUUUUACACCCUGGCAGCAACUUUUUGUUGUUUUUGAAUUUGUCUGUCUUGUCCCAGUUUUGUGCAGUUUUUUUUUUUCUCCCCAGGGCUGUAGCCUUUGUGCAACCUCUGAGAUGUAGUCAGUACAGCAGAUAAAAACUCAUUUUCCACAAGAUACAGAUUGUUUAUAUGUUGCUGUUGCUGUGUAGGCCAAUUUUUCUUUCUUUCUUUCUUUUUUUUUCUUUUUUUUUUUUUUUUUCAUAAAAUGCAACACAUUUGAUGUAAUGUUGAAUAUUGCAGGUUACUUUUAGCAGUGAUAUGAGAAUCUCCCUGGAAUGGACUGGUGCAUUUUUGACAACAAGGAAGAUGAUUUAUUUCUUAAAAACUGAAAAUGGAAAAAAAAAAAAAAAAAAUUGUUUCCCUGCUGAGAAUUUGUAAAUGGGUGUUAUUUGAUACUUGGUUGAUGUAUUUAGUUCCUGAUUAUGAUGGCGCAGGGUAAUCCUUCCCAGCUUGCAUGAGGUUAAUAUAAUGUAACAUUCCUGUUUGUUUGUGGGUUUUGUUUUUGUUGCACUUCCUGAACAUAAACCAGAGCAGCAUCUCUGUGUGCAGGGGGGAUUUUCCUCCUGUGGUCUCUGGUUUGUCCCCAUGAUGAUUGAUUUUAAAACACAUGCAGAUGUUCGAGUGGAUUUCUGUUGGACUGCUUCAGCAGUUUUUGCUCUUCCUGGCUUAUAUGGUGACAGUGGCAGUUUUAUUUUCAUAAAUCUCUUCAACAUA